UACAGAGGGGGCAAGCGUUGUUCGGAAUUACUGGGCGUAAAGGGCGCGUAGGCGGCCUUCUAAGUCGAACGUGAAAUCCCCGGGCUCAACCCGGGAACUGCGUCCGAUACUGGAAGGCUUGAAUCCAGGAGAGGGAUGCGGAAUUCCAGGUGUAGCGGUGAAAUGCGUAGAUAUCUGGAGGAACACCGGUGGCGAAGGCGGCAUCCUGGACCGGCAUUGACGCUGAGGCGCGAAAGCGUGGGGAGUAAACAGG
rnacentral:rRNA from 1 species